rnacentral:rRNA from 1 species
CAGUAGCCGCGGUAAUACGGAGGGAGCUAGCGUUGUUCGGAAUUACUGGGCGUAAAGCGCACGUAGGCGGCUUGGUAAGUUAGAGGUGAAAGCCCAGGGCUCAACCCUGGAAUUGCCUUUAAGACUGCCGAGCUAGUAGGUGAGAGAGGUGAGUGGAAUUCCGAGUGUAGAGGUGAAAUUCGUAGAUAUUCGGAAGAACACCAGUGGCGAAGGCGGCUCACUGGCUCAUUCUAGACGCUGAGGUGCGAAAGCGUGGGGAACAAACAGGAUUAGAUACCCCAGUAGUCCCUGUCUCUUAUAC